CGGAGGGUGCAAGCGUUGCUCGGAAUUAUUGGGCGUAAAGGGUAGGUAGGUGGUCUCAUUUGUCUGGGGUGAAAGCCUUGAGCUUAACUCAAGAAGUGCCCCAGAAACGGUGAGACUGGAGUCCUGGAGAGGGUCGUGGAAUUCCCGGUGUAGCGGUGAAAUGCGUAGAGAUCGGGAGGAACACCAGAGGCGAAGGCGGCGACCUGGACAGGUACUGACACUCAACUACGAAAGCGUGGGGAGCAAACAGGAUUAGAUACCCUGGUAGUCCACGCUGUAAACGAUGGGUACUAGGUUUAGUGGGUCUUGACCCCCGCUGAACCGGCGCUAACGCACUAAGUACCCCGCCUGGGAAGUACGGUCGCAAGACUA
rnacentral:rRNA from 1 species